rnacentral:rRNA from 1 species
UACGUAGGUGGCAAGCGUUGUCCGGAUUUACUGGGCGUAAAGAGCGCGCAGGCGGUCGUUCAAGUCGCGUGUGAAAGCCCCCGGCUCAACUGGGGAGGGUCACGCGAUACUGAUCGACUGGAAGGCAGGAGAGGGUAGUGGAAUUCCCGGUGUAGUGGUGAAAUGCUUAGAUAUCGUCAAGAACACCGAUAGUGAAGACAGCUAACUAAACUCUAACUGACGCUGAGGCACGAAAGUGUGGGGAUCAAACAGG